GAUGAAGAACGUAGCGAAAUGCGAUAAGUAAUGUGAAUUGCAGAAUUCAGUGAAUCAUCGAAUCUUUGAACGCACAUUGCGCCCCUUGGUAUUCCGAGGGGCAUGCCUGUUCGAGCGUCAUUACGCCCCUCAAGUCCCCUGUGGACUUGGUGUUGGGGAUCGGCGAGGCUGGUUUUCCAGCACAGCCGUCCCUUAAAUUAAUUGGCGGUCUCGCCGUGGCCCUCCUCUGCGCAGUAGUAAAACACUCGCAACAGGAGCCCGGCGCGGUCCACUGCCGUAAAACCCCCCAACUUUUUAUAGUUGACCUCGAAUCAGGUAGGACUACCCGCUGAACUUAAGCAUAUCAAUAAGCGGAGGA
rnacentral:misc_RNA from 1 species